AUUUGAUUGGCUCUAUUUUAUUAUUUACUGGUUCUUUUUAGUUGCACAUGAUGAUAGAAUCCAUUUUGGUAUAAUUAUACAAGCAGGGAAUAUAUCUUAUUCUAGUUAGGACCCCAUUCUUGUCGAUGUAUGUGGUGGUGGGAUUCACUGUAAAGUUUUCACAUACGUACAUAGGAAGAUUAUGUCAGAUUCAUUCCACUACAUUUCCUUUUCCUAUCCCCCUUCCUCUGUUCCCUUUAUUCCCUAUUGUCUAAUCUAUUGAACUUCUAUUCUCCCCUGAUUUGUGGGUUAGCAUUCAUAUAUCAGAGAGAACAUUUAACCUCUGGCUUUUGGGGACUGGCUUAUUUCACUUAGCAUGAUAAUCUCCAGAUCCAUUCAUUUUCAGUGAAUAUCAUAAAGUCAUUCUUCUUUAUGGAUGAGUAAUAUUCCAUUGUGUAUAUAUACCACAAUUUAUUUGUCUAUUUAUCUGUUGAAGGGCACCUUGGUUGGUUCCAUGGCUUGGCUAUUAUGAAUUGAGCUGUUAUAAACAUUGAUGUGGCUGUAUCACUAUAGUAUGCUGAUUUUAAAUCCUUUGGGUAUAUACCAAGGAGUGGGAUAACUGGGUCAAAUGGUAGUUCCAUUCCUAGUUUUUGAGGAAUCUCCCAUACUGCUUUCCAUAAUGGUUGUACCAAUUUGCAGUCUCACCAGCAAUAUAUGAAAAUACCUUUUUCCCCACAUCUUCACCAACAUUUAUUGUUACUUGUAUUCUUGAUGAUUGCCAUUCUGAUAGGAGUGAUGAAAUCUUAGUGUAGUUUAAUUUGCAUUUCUCUAAUUGCUAGAGAUAUUGAACGUUUUUUCAUAUAUUUGUUGAUCAUCCAUAUUUCUUCUGUGAAGUGUCUGUUCAGUUCCUUUGCCCAUUUAUUGAUUUGUUUUCUGGUGUGGAUUAGUUUUUUAUAUAAUCUUUUCCUUCCCUCCCAUGGACCCGCUUUCUAUCACUGCUGAUUAGUUCAUAUUUUCAAAAGUUUUCUGUAAAUGCAAUCACAGUAUGUUCUCAUUUUUGUCCAGCUAAUUUUCAUUCAGCAUAAUUAAUUUUCUUUGUUGUUAUUGUUUUGAUACUGGGGAUUGAAUUC
rnacentral:lncRNA from 1 species